UUUAAACUAGGUUCGACGGGGACAGGUGAGCAAAGACCACAGAUUUCUCGUUUCAGAUUUCAAGCGGGUGAGUGGAACUGGUGGGAGCCAGAUUACACGAGGCAAAAGGGUGUGAAAGGUGCAAGAAGCGCUUCGUGCAUGCGCGAUCUGGUUGACAAUGGCUAGCAAAAAUCUCCGAGCUGCGGCGCUGGGACAGGGCCCAACACCUACAGUGGAGCACCCACGCGGGGACAUAUCUCGAAGAACCAUCGUUACUGAACCAAGGUGAGUAACUUCUUUCAUUAAAAAUCCUGCUGUAGCUGAUGGAAGCAGCUGUGUUUUGGUAAGUGCAUUUACUUUACAGAUGUUAGCACAUAUAAAAGGUAAUUACUUGAAAGCUCUGGAGGCUGAGAUCAUCAAUUUAAACACAAAAAAGAGCAAGCAGUUAUAGUGUGCAUUUUCUCAAAUUUUUCUACAAAUGUGACUUGGCUUCUAAGGAGGACAGAAAACAUAUUAGAUUUUGUGUCCAUUCAUCAUUUGCUUCUAAAUACUAACAAGGAUAUCAGUUGUUGAGAUUUUUUUCAUAUCACCCUAAUCUUUGAGAUCUUUAGAAAUUAACAUAAAACCCAACUAGCACUAUACUCGUGGACCUAGAAUUCACUUCGUCUUCAUCCCACUAUAUAUUAAGAUUCCCUUUAUAGCUUAUUAAGGGUUUAAUAAUUUUUAAUGAAUGAUUAGUCACCUGGUUAACAUGUCCAUAUGUGACAUUUAGUCCCGAUUUGCAUAUAACCAUCUAUAACACUUACUAAUCAUGUCUUUACCAUGCUUAUAGUAGAUAUUAAUCAUUUAUGAAUCUUUUAUUAAGUGUUUAUAAAAGGAACAUAAUUCCGUAACAACUGUUUUGCUUCAGCUUCACUGAAGAGAGCAGGAGGAUCCAAAAUGUUUGAUGGAAUUCUGGGGUUGAUUGUUUUGAAGAAUCGUGCAUUGCAAAGUGAAUUAUUUAAGUUACAAACCAGUUGAUCCACUCAGCCAUAUCCACAUCUUCAUCCACAUAAUUUUCUCCCAAUAAGCAGUUUUUCAUAUGUUGUUUCAUUCUUGCAACCAGGCCCUGCAUCAUCUUCUUGCACUGCUUACACAGAAAUAUUUUCCUUUUUUACCCAGGGAAUGAAUGUCUUCAAAAUAUUCCCAGUUAGAGUUUGUCUUGUGCCAUAAGCACAGAACAAAAACGAUACUAUCCAGCUUGUCUUUCUUUGCACAUGUUACUUUUUAGUGUGCUGAGAAAUUGAAAGCCUAGAAUUUUCAAGAAGCAAGAGCUAGUAGUUAGGCUGGACAUAUUAAUUCACUUUUAUGAGACUGUCAGUGUACAUGUAGCAUGUCUGUGAUGAGAUUGUUAUAACUGUUAUUUUUAAACAAGAAAUUUAACACUUUAUUGAUAUUUUUAGAAAGAUAUAAAUUAAAAAAAAUCCUAUUUAAUUUUUAAAAAAAUCAUUGAUUCUUAUCCAACCUGUUUAAACAUAUGUUUUUAGGUUUGCAAAUUGGUAAAUUUUGUUUGUUUUUUAUUUCAUUCUAUCAUGCUUUGGAGUGAGUGUUGAAGGAUGAGCAGCCAAGCAGUGGUCAGCCAGAGGGAGAAGAACGUCAUACAGCCCCCAGAAUAGCAACAGCAGUAAAUAUGGUCAUGCUGUUUCUCCACUCAGACCCAGAUCACAUUCACAGCACCCAUUGGAUCCAUUGGCUACCAGACAUUCAGGAGCUUUGAUGAGACAUUUACACAUGUAACUGCAUUUAAAUAGACCUUAUUCCAGCAUCAAACAAGCUGACAUCAAGCAAAAGGGAGGAGACAUGAUCAUGGGGCAAAGUGUGCAAACACUAUACAGACUAUGGGAAGAAAAAUAUUAAAUCGUGAAGUGGCUCAGUGCUCCAAAAAACAGACUAUGUACUUGUUCCACUCAAAUCUACAUGUAAACAUACUGUUAUUUGCAGCUGACUUGUGGCCAUUGAAAUAUGCAGGUUUUGCAUAAUGGGAAAAGUGGACUUCAAAAUGAUUCUCUUCUGUGACUGUCUUAUGUUUUAUAUAAUACCUAUCACAGUGGUAUCAAACUGCCUACCAUAAUGAAUGAGCAGACAAGCCCAGGAUAAGAGAUUUUUUCACCUUUCUCUAUUUAAAAAUAUCAUAUAAUAUCAGUAGCACACACAGUAUAUUAGGAGUGCUCAAGCUUGUACAGCUGGCUGGGAAAACCCUGUUAACUUCUUAGAUUUUUAGAAAGGUGAACUUUUUCAAGGAUCCAAAACUAGCCUCUUACUUCUGUAGGCAAAACAUGGCUCACCAUUUUAAUUUCAUUUCCUCUGAACUACAGGGAAUUGCAUAAGGUAAAUCUGGGCAUUAUUUGUCUCUGGCUCUAUACCUAUCAUUGCAAUUUAAAAAACUGGUUUCAAUCUUUUGCUGCUUCUCUGCUUUGUUGGUUUCUUCUGCCCACCCACUAUGUCACUUGGGGUGUUAAUGGAGGAGGUUUGUUAUUUCAGAUGCAUACCAACGCCUGCUGCACUCAUUUCUUCCCUACAGUCUUGCACAGGGCACAGAGUCAACUUCAUACUUUCAUUUGUCUCAGUUACACACACAGGAUUUAAAUUCAUCCCUUCCUCUACAUAGCCUAAUAUUUUCUGUCAGAUGAUAACUCAAUACAUGCUAAAUAGUAAAUCUGGUUGCUUUUUUACUAUAAUUUUCAAUUUAUUUUGGAGGAAUCAGUUUCUUUCUUGCCAUAUGAAAACCUUGCAAGAUACACGUGUGUUUUCAGAGCAGCAGGCUAAUGACGCUAUUGAGUUAAGAAAAAAUCAUGCCAUCAUGUUGCAGUCUGUGCCAAAAGAACAUAGACAGCUAUUCAGUGCCCAGUAUCCACUGCUGCCCAAAACCUUAUCUUGUCCUAUUUAUAAUUUCACAACUGAGGUCCUGUUUAAGAGUUGGGUGAAUGCUGUAUUUGCUUUAAACAAACAAAUUUGCUCCUUUGGUGACUAUGCUUUUAUUGUGUUUAUUCGCAGAAAACACAUUUUAAAUUCAGAUGCGUAUUGAUUUCUGCUGGAAGUACUCAUGUGCCCUCAUUCAAUAAAGGAUCAGAAACCGACCAAUCAGGACUAAGCAAUGCAGCUCAGAUUUCAAAUGUCGACUCCUAAAUACCUGCAGAAAACCUUGUAUUAUUAAUGAAUAAAUAAAAAAACAAAUGUA